rnacentral:rRNA from 1 species
UACGGGGGGAGCAAGCGUUGUUCGGAUUUACUGGGCGUAAAGGGCGCGUAGGCGGCCACCGCAAGUCGACUGUGAAAUCUCCGGGCUUAACUCGGAAAGGUCAGCCGAUACUGCGGGGCUAGAGUGCAGAAGGGGCAACUGGAAUUCUCGGUGUAGCGGUGAAAUGCGUAGAUAUCGAGAGGAACACCAGUGGCGAAGGCGGUGCUCUGGGCUGGAACUGACACUGAGGAGCGAAAGCGUGGGGAGCGAACAGG